rnacentral:rRNA from 1 species
GAGCUGUGGUAGGUGCGUAAUGUUCCCUACUAGAAAGGAGAGGGCAAGGCUGGUGCCAGCCGCCGCGGUAAAACCAGCUCUUCAAGUGGUCGGGAUAAUUAUUGGGCUUAAAGUGUCCGUAGCUGGUAAGGUAAGUUCCUGGUAAAAUUGGGCAGCUUAACUGUCCUUAUGCUAGGAAUACUGCUUUACUAGAGGGCGGGAGAGGUCUGAGGUACUACAGGGGUAGGAGUGAAAUCUUAUAAUCCUUGUAGGACCACCAGUGGCGAAGGCGUCAGACUGGAACGCGCCUGACGGUGAGGGACGAAAGCCAGGGGAGCGAACCGGAUUAGAUACCCGGGUAGUCCUGGCCGUAAACGAUGCACACUAGAUGAUGGUGCGGCCAUGAGCCGUAUCAGUGUCGUGGGGAAACCGUUAAGUGUGCCGCCUGGGAAGUACGGUCGCAAGGCUUAAACUUAAAGGAAUUGGCGGGGGAGCACCACAAGGGGUGAAGCCUGCGGUCCAAUUGGACUCAACGCCGGGCAACUUACCAGGGGAGACAGCAGAAUGAAGGUCAGGUUGACGACCUUACCUAACAAGCUGAGAGGAGGUGCAUGGCCGUCGCCAGUUCGUGCUGUGAGGUAUCCUGUUAAGUCAGGCAACGAACGAGACCCGUGCCUUUAUUUGCCAUCAAGAAGUCACGACUUCGUUGGGAACGAUAAAGGGACUGCCGUCGAUAAGACGGAGGAAGGAGCGGGCAAAGGCAGGUCAGUAUGCCCUGAAACCCCUGGGCUACACGCGGGCUGCAAUGGUGCGAACAAUGGGCUGUGACUCCGACAGGAGAAACCAAUCCCGAAAUCGCAUCUCAGUUGGGAUUGUCAACUGUAACCCGUUGACAUGA